rnacentral:rRNA from 1 species
GGGCUACCUGCAGUCGACGCUGAGCUUGGUGCUUGCACUGGGUGGAUGAGUGGCGAACGGGUGAGUAAUACGUGAGUAACCUGCCCUUGACUCUGGGAUAAGCCUGGGAAACUGGGUCUAAUACUGGAUAUGACAUGUCACCGCAUGGUGGUGUGUGGAAAGGGUUUUACUGGUUUUGGAUGGGCUCACGGCCUAUCAGCUUGUUGGUGGGGUAAUGGCUCACCAAGGCGACCACGGGUAGCCGGCCUGAGAGGGUGACCGGCCACACUGGGACUGAGACACGGCCCAGACUCCUACGGGAGGCAGCAGUGGGGAAUAUUGCACAAUGGGCGGAAGCCUGAUGCAGCGACCCCGCGUGAGGGAUGACGGCCUUCGGGUUGUAAACCUCUUUCAGCACGGAAGAAGCGAAAGUGACGGUACGUGCAGAAAAAGCGCCGGCUAACUACGUGCAGCGCCCCGGGGGGAAAAUAAAAGCAGGGUGUGGUACU